rnacentral:rRNA from 1 species
CGUGGGGAACCUGCCCCAUAGUCUGGGAUACCACUUGGAAACAGGUGCUAAUACCGGAUAAGAAAGCAGAUCGCAUGAUCAGCUUUUAAAAGGCGGCGUAAGCUGUCGCUAUGGGAUGGCCCCGCGGUGCAUUAGCUAGUUGGUAAGGUAAAGGCUUACCAAGGCGAUGAUGCAUAGCCGAGUUGAGAGACUGAUCGGCCACAUUGGGACUGAGACACGGCCCAAACUCCUACGGGAGGCAGCAGGCC